CUGAAGAGGACACGGUGUGCGAAUCGAGUAUUAGAAUAAUAGGGUCGGGAGAUUGUACGAGAUUACAGAACUUCAUCCUAAUAACACUACUUAAUUUGAAGAAUAUGACUGACAAGCUCGAAUUCUGCAUACCGUGGAGAUCCGGGUUAGAAUAGGUCCUCAGUACCCCUUGCUUGUCGUAACUGGUGACUAAAUGUGGCGGUCCUUCGGAUGAUACCGCAAAAACCGAGGUCCCGUGCUACAGCAGGGAUGUUCUGCCACUUUUCAAGAACCGCUUGAUGCAAAACGGGUAGAGUUUCUGAUGUUUUUGGGUGCGUUCGAAUGUGUAGAUCUACAGUAUCUCAAACAUGGCGAGAAAUCAGGACUCUAUGGGAAGUUAUUUUGGGGACGCUAUCAUCACCAAAGCUGUCGCAUUCCACCAUGCAAUUAUCGAAAUAACAUUCAGUGUACGCUGAUGCCCAUCUGAGCGUUGAUGAGUACAUGGCGCCAUCUUUGUUUUAGGUCGUUAUAACGAUCUGGUUUGCCAAUACAACAUAUCAUUGGGUCAAAUGCUGUCUGACUUGUUUCAUAUAGAUUGUUAGGCUGAUCUCGGCACACUGAUUUUGACUACGGAUAACUCUGUUUACCUGAUCAAUUAAGAUAUACGGCUCAUGGUGGGUUUGACCGGUGGGCAGGUGAUGCUUACUCCUGAUCCCACUUCUGGUAUAUCCAGGGGUCCGUGUUUGCCCAACUCUCUAUUUUGUAUUGCUUAUAGGAGUUAUGAGAUUGAUCACUGUUCGUUAUCUUCACCUUUCAUUCCAACCGUUGGAAUGCGACGUCAUGUUGAUGACGAUGAAGGGGCGUUCCUACUGCGAUGCGACGCGGAGAAGAGACACCUCAACAUAUUAUCUCAGCUUAUUUUUUAAUAAUGUGUCCCUGGUGUCUCAUUUGCAGGGUAUUUUAUGUGUGCAGUUCUAGAUGAUUGUGCAAGUGCUGCAACCUCAUGAAACGAUCCUGAUGAGGCGUUAUAAUUUUCGGUUGACGAGUUACAAGACGGUCGGCAGUUGUAUCGG